GCUUUUAAAGGAAAACAGCCAUCCACUGGUCUUAGGCACCAGCACUUCUUGGUGCAAAUCCAAGUAAAAGCU
rnacentral:tRNA from 1 species